AUUGAACGCUGGCGGCAGGCCUAACACAUGCAAGUCGAGCGGAGCGGCGGACGGGUGAGUACUGCCUAGUAAUCUGCCUGGGAGUGGGGGAUAACGUUCGGGAACGGGCGUUAAUUCCGCAUACUUUCAGGGGGGCUUAGGUCGGAUUAGCUUUUGUGUGGGGUAACGGCUUACCAAGGCGACGAUCCGUAACUGGCCUGAGAGGAUGAUCAGUCACACUGGAACUGAGACACGGUCCAGACUCCUACGGGAGGCAGCAGUGGGGAAGAUUGGACAAUGGCCGAAAGCCUGAUCCAGCCAUGCCGCGUGUGUGAAGAAGGUCUUCGGAUUGUAAAGCACUUUAAGUUGGGAGGCGUUACCCACAGAAUAAGCACCGGCUAACUUCGUGCCAUCAGCCGCGGUAAUAC
rnacentral:rRNA from 1 species